GAGCUCGUAGGCGGCUUGUCACGUCGGGUGUGAAAGCCCGGGGCUUAACCCCGGGUCUGCAUUCGAUACGGGCUAGCUAGAGUGUGGUAGGGGAGAUCGGAAUUCCUGGUGUAGCGGUGAAAUGCGCAGAUACCAGGAGGAACACCGGUGGCGAAGGCGGAUCUCUGGGCCAUUACUGACGCUGAGGAGCGAAAGCGUGGGGAGCGAACAGGAUUAGAUACCCUGGUAGUCCACGCCGUAAACGGUGGGAACUAGGUGUUGGCGACAUUCCACGUCGUCGGUGCCGCAGCUAACGCAUUAAGUUCCCCGCCUGGGGAGUACGGCCGCAAGGCUAAAACUCAAAGGAAUUGA
rnacentral:rRNA from 1 species